rnacentral:lncRNA from 1 species
AAGAAAUCUGAAGCAGUUGUCAUUUUCUCACCCACCGUGUAUCAGCUGCAUUCAGGGCUUUUGUUAGCUACAGUUGGCAGUAACCUUGGCCCCAUCAGAGAGACCAACACUUCACUGCUUAAAAUCAGGCAUUUUCCUGCUUCUGAGUAGAGCUUCAUAGAAAAGCUUCAUUUCCUCAUGGAAGAUCUUUCAUUAUCAACUUAAUGGAAAGAUCCAGGUCCAGGAUCCUGGGAAGCAUAACCAUUAACUUUGCCAUGCCAUUACAGACAUACCAGAGCCCUAAUGAGAGCAAAGCAAUGAGAAGUUGAGACUCGACCUCGGUAUAUUUUGAUAUUAAAAAAAAGAGAAAAGUUCCUGUGAUAGGAGACAGCCUCAGAAGAAUACUGAAAGGCAAAUGUGCAAGCACAUUGCAGCUAAGCUUGGCAGAGAAGCCCUCUCAGUGCUGUAUCGGGGGGAUUGUGCUGCUCAAAAUGUCAUCUCUCAGGUAAAUACACAGCCACUAUAUAUAGUGGCUUCCAAUUCCUUUGUAACU